rnacentral:sRNA from 1 species
CAUUGGGUAGAGGUGGGUCAUGUGGCUGUAUCCUUGCAAAGGAGGCUGGGAAAUGUAGUCCAGCCCUGCCGCAGCCGAAAGAGGAAGGAGUCCUGCAGUGCCCAAGCCUACUCUUCUCCUGAGAACGUCUGUUUUUGCGUAUUGCUUUAAGCAGGCUUGCUUGAGCAUCCUCACAAUAUGGCGACUGGCUUUCCAAGAAGAAAGUGACCUAGCAAGAGGAGAAGGAGAGCCACGGUGUAUUUUAUUUCUGGUCAAAAGGGGAUAAAAGUCCAAGCGCCCACCGAUGGGCGGACGCAUAGAAUGUGGUACAUCGACACAGUGGGACAUUAUUUGGUCAUGGAACAGAACAGAAUAAAGUAUGGAUGAUGCUAUGACAUAAAUGAGUCUCGAAGUUGUGCUAAGCAAAAGGAUCCAGACAGAAAGCAUACGUCGCCGUUUCUAUUCACUGCAAAUGUCCCGAAUACACAGAAAGUUGAUUAGAGGUUUCCUGGAGCUACGGUGUAGACCAAAAGGAGAAGUAACAAUGACAGAAUAUUCCAGAAUUAGACAACAAGGAUGAUUGCACAGUCUUGUGAAUAUGCUAAAAAACCGUUGCAUUGCACAAGUGUACUGGAGAGCUACCUGUGACGUAUGGGUUUUAACUCAACUGAAAAAAUCAACCAUUUUAAUUCCU